GCAUGACUCUCGGCAAUGGAUAUCUCGGCUCUCGCAUCGAUGAAGAGCGCAGCGAAAUGCGAUACGUGGUGCGAAUUGCAGAAUCCCGUGAACCAUCGAGUCUUUGAACGCAAGUUGCGCCCGAGGCCAACCGGCCAAGGGCACGUCUGCCUGGGCGUCAAGC
rnacentral:rRNA from 2 species